rnacentral:rRNA from 1 species
AAAUUGAAGAGUUUGAUCAUGGCUCAGAUUGAACGCUGGCGGCAGGCCUAACACAUGCAAGUCGAACGGUAACAGGAAGCAGCUUGCUGCUUCGCUGACGAGUGGCGGACGGGUGAGUAAUGUCUGGGAAACUGCCUGAUGGAGGGGGAUAACUACUGGAAACGGUAGCUAAUACCGCAUAAUGUCGCAAGACCAAAGAGGGGGACCUUCGGGCCUCUUGCCAUCGGAUGUGCCCAGAUGGGAUUAGCUUGUUGGUGGGGUAACGGCUCACCAAGGCGACGAUCCCUAGCUGGUCUGAGAGGAUGACCAGCCACACUGGAACUGAGACACGGUCCAGACUCCUACGGGAGGCAGCAGUGGGGAAUAUUGCACAAUGGGCGCAAGCCUGAUGCAGCCAUGCCGCGUGUAUGAAGAAGGCCUUCGGGUUGU